rnacentral:rRNA from 1 species
GACGAACGCUGGCGGCGUGCUUAACACAUGCAAGUCGAACGGAAAGGCCCUGCUUUUGUGGGGUGCUCGAGUGGCGAACGGGUGAGUAACACGUGAGUAACCUGCCCUUGACUUUGGGAUAACGUCAGGAAACUGGGGCUAAUACCGGAUAGGAGCUCCUGCUGCAUGGGGGGGGUUGGAAAGUUUCGGCGGUAGGGGAUGGACUCGCGGCUUAUCAGCUUGUUGGUGGGGUAGUGGCUUACCAAGGCUUUGACGGGUAGCCGGCCUGAGAGGGUGGCCGGCGACAUUGGGCCUGAGAUACGGCGCAGUCGCCUACGGGAGGCAGCAGUGGGGAACAUUGCCCAAUGGGCGGAAGCCUGAUGCGGCAACGCCGCGUGCGGGAUGACGGCCUUCGGGUUGUGAACCGCUUUCGCCUGAGACGAAGCGUGAGUGACGGUAAUGGGUAAAGAAGCACCGGCUAACUACGUG